UGCGUAGAAGACCGACAUUUUGAAUUUAUUUGCGCCAAUUUGAUUACCACAUCAAGUUAAGAGUUGCUCUCAGCAGUGUAAAGUAAGUAUAAUUUUCAUUUCUUGUUUACUUUAAUGAUAGCUAUAUGAUAAUUUAAGAUAUACAAUAGUGUAGCGUUUACCGUAAUUAUAUGCAUGAUAUGAGUAUAGUGAUUUAAGCAGAUCAGAUAUAAUUUAUGAAUUAUACACACAUGUGUUUGUAGUCUCGGGGAACAGCAAGGUUGACCUUAAGAUAUAUUUGUACAUUGAUUGGGUGCGGCAACUUAUUAUGUUAAGACUUGAAAAGGGAGAGUGAUUUUAUGAACAUUGAUUUGGUAAUUUAAAGCAAAAGCGUAUGGCAAAGAAUUCUAUCAUUGCAGAUACUGGGAGGGCGCGGAGUCAUAAUAUAUCAUGGAACAUGCGGUUUGAAAUUGAAAAAAAAAAAUAUAUUCGUCUGGCAAAUAAUAAUAUAUAAUUAUUGAAGUUCACCUAUGCGAUCUCAUACUAGUUCUUUUACAUGUUUUAUAUGCUGAUAUAAUUACAAGUCAAAGAUUUACAACACAUGGCAUUCUUGACCUUGCAACACAUUCAAACAAACAAAUUCUUUUCUCUGGGUCAGAAUAGAUGUCACUCACAGAUGUAUUCCGAGGAUUUAUCAAUGAAGCAAUACGGCAGAUAAGAAACAUGUGUGACCAUAACAAAUUAAUACACAAUGAUCUGUCCAUUUUCAAAGUGGUCUAUAUGAUAACGUCUAAAUAGAUGCUUUAUCAAUUGACCGUAUUGAAUUAUUACAGCACAAAAAAAGUCAAGGAAAUAAAACAAAUAUUCUUUUAUUUUUAAUGUCUAAACUUAAUCCAUAUGCAUGUAAAUGAAAAUUAAAUAAGACGUAUCACGAAAGACUGGAAUAUAUUGCAGUUUUAAAGAAAAAUGUAAAACACAGGUUCAAAGUUUAGCAACCAUGCCGAAAGUAUCUAUUGAUGAAAGAUCAUGAAAAAAUUAGAUGUAAAGUAUGACAUAUAUUGUUUCUCGAGAUGAGUGACUGUCAAGAUCUUGGUGCUUGUGGUGCAUUAUUGUUUCUCAAGAUGAGUGACUGUCAAGAUCUCGGUGCUUGUGGUGCAGUAUUGUAUCUCAAGAUGAGUGACUGUCAAGAUCUCGGUGCUUUGUGGUGCAGUAUUGUUUCUCAAGAUGAGUGACUGUCAAGAUCUCGGUGAUUGUGGUGCAGUAUUGUAUCUCAAGAUGAGUGACUGUCAAAAUCUCAAUGCUUUUGGUUCCCCUUGAGAGGGAAAAUUAGUUGAUUAAAUAAUGAAUCACUGAAGCAUGACUUGAGUCCCCCCCUUUCCCUCUAUUAUUAAGUCAGUGGACCCUUAUGAAAAUUCAGGAUCUGCCACUGAUUCCAGAAUCAUGUUUGAUUCUCGACUGGACAAACUUUCAUGCUAAAUGCUACAAUAAUAAUUAUUGGACUUAAAGUUUUUCAACCACAAUUAUUGAAAAAAUGUAAGAUCACAACAAUAGAUAAUAGUGAUCUCCGAGGAAAAUUAAAAUCAGAAAGUCCCCAAUGAAAGGUUUUGGAUGUCCAAAUUUUGUAAGCGUGUUUAUUUAUUAGUUCAGGAGGGAAUUAAUAAUUUGAAAAUGCUGUAAUUAAAUAAACGUAUUUUUUUUUUAGAUGAUGUCUUACCAAAAAAUCCAUGUCUGUAAAGUACAUAUCGGGUAAAAAGAAUAAAUAUGCCUAUGGUGUCCAAGCUUGACCGAUUGAAAUAAUAAGAGGUGAGUAUUGAAAUAUACACCAUUGUGUUUUUUUUCUUUUAAAUUGGCCCUGCAUCUUUGUCUACUAAAAUCUUUAGGUUUGUUUUUUAUUAAAUUGAUUUAUUAUUUACUAUCUGAACUCAAGUUUAAAAAAAAAACUGUCAUGAUAGCUAUUGAUAAAUAUUUAAAGAAAUAACUAUAUCAUUCAUAUGACACUAGUGUUCUUUAUAUGGGCUGCAUAAUGAAAUUAACAAAGUUAUGAUAAAGAUAGUACAAUAGUGUUUUUUUUCGAUUGCAGAUGCUGUAGUAACAAGUUUCGAAUGUAAAAAUUAGAGACCACAAUAUGGAACAACAGUACAAGAUGUCUAGCAGAUGGACUAUUUUUUUUUUAAAUAAAA
rnacentral:lncRNA from 1 species